AGGCAACUUCUUAUGUGAACAUCACACCUUCCGAGAGAGGCAAUGUCUUUACAUGACUCUUGAAUGCUCAGUUGGGUUGCAGCAUCAAGAAGGUCAUCGUCCUCAUCUAGAUCACCUGAUGAAUCCAUUUUCCUGGAGACGACAGAGGUGCUUCAGGGAUCGUGGGUUGUCUGGAACAAAUUCAGAAGAUAUUAGUCUGCAUUCCCUGAGACUAGAGAACCAUCGAUCUGUUGCUAGAGAACAGGAUGGAUCUCAGACGUGAGCAGAGGGGAACGCAGCUGACAUAGUCCAGUAGGAUCAGUACCACUCGUCCCGAAAGGUCGACCAGGCAGCACAGACUCAUGAAGUCACAGAACUGGGAUGUAAAGGCAACAUAAAUUUAGCAAUUUAAAUGUCAUAAUAUUAUUCAUUUAGUAAUAUAAAAUAAAUGAUAAUACAUACAAUAGGGUUCAGUUAAUCAAUGAACUUUGUUUCAUAACUAACACUGAAUAACAUUUUUCACAGCAUUUAAUAUUCUAGGUUAAUGUUUAUUUAUAAGCAUUUGUUAAUUCACGUUCGUUCGUUAAUUAAUGUUCAUUUGUACAACUUUAAAUGUUAAAAUGUAUAUGUAGAAAUUUUAAUUAACCCAGAUUAAUAAAUGCUGUAAUAUUUUCAUUGUUAUUUUGUGAUGCCUAAUGAUAGCAAAAUGUUUUUGGUCACACUUUAUAUUAGGUGGCCUUAACUACUAUGUACUUACAUCAAAAAAUAAGUACAAUGUAAUUAUUGUGUUCAUACUGUAUUGCAAAACACUUUUGCUGCUAUUGAGGUGGGAUACGCGUAAGGUUAUAGGGACAGGUUUGGUGGUAUGGGUGGGUUAAAGUGUAAGGGAUGGGUCAAAAGUGUAAUUAUAAAUGUAAUUACAGAAAUUAAUUACAGAUGUAAUUACAUAUUGUCAUGAGUCCGGGUCAGCGAUGAUCCCUCUCACCACCAGAGGUUGCUACCUCCCGUGUUCCCGGACUCAGUUGCCAUUACUCCACACACCUGCCACUCAUCACACUCCCAGCUGUUCCCCAUCACUAUGGACUAUUUAUACACCUCACUCCCGCUACUCUGUCUGGUGGAAUUAAUAAUUGUUUGUAAGUUGUUGUAGUUGCCGGUCGUUACUCUGUGGACACACGCACUGUGUUGCCGUCUGUUGUGUCCCGUUCUGUAACCUGUUUUCUUUUUGCCUUGUUGGCUUUUUGUUGUUUAUUAAAGUGGUUUUUCCCUGCA